AUUCUGGAUCGCGGCUGACUAAUGCACUCUCGACCCAGGACUCAAGCGAUUGCAGCCAGGUGAGAAGCCUGUACGGUAGCAUAUCAACCUUUACAGAAGGAUGUAACCAGCCCCUCGUGAACUGCCCGGAUCCAUGUUGAAUAAGAAGGAAAAUUCAGGACAGGCACACUAGGAGCUACACAGUGGUCCGUCCACUUCAGGAUCCUGCUCUAGUUAUAUCUGCAUCUAGUUACGGCACACGAGUGCUUGUCUCAGGGUCUUUGUUAGUAAACUGUCCAGGGUUCCUCCACCACACGGGUUUGGUUCCUCUCAACCCCAUAUUUCCCCUGACUUUACGAAGUCCUAGAAAAGAAGCCUUUUGGAUGUAGUAGAAGAAAACCACCUGGCCCACAGUCUUAAUGAUAACCACAGUCAAGACACCCACAGCUCAGAUAUUUAUUGAAGACCUACUAUGUCACCCACAAUGCAACACUGCAAAGUAAAAGUUCAGAUAAAUAACUUCCAGCUGGGACGAUUUCUUCAUCAAAAAUAUCUCCUGUUAUUUUUUCCAUAAAAUGACUUUGAAGUUUUAAAGGCAUCACAGUCAAAGCCUUUAGGUGACACUCUGUGAGGGCAUGCCAUGGACUGCCUAAUUGAUAUUUCAGAGGCUUCUACUUCAAGAUGGUGAACUGAGGCCAAGAAUUUGCCUUCCCUCCUUCCUGAGAUCCUUUUGAAAUGAUAGAAAGGAAUUUUUUAAUGAUAAAAUCAAUAAUAGUGAAGAGAAUAGGAGGGGUGCCAUCUUUGAAGAAAUUUCGACAGAUCUCAGGAAGACAGAACGUAUUUGGCAGAAGGUCAGUACGUCAACAGAUAAACCAAGUGGAGGUGUCUUCAGCCCAGAGUACAUGAGGUGAGUGACAAUGGGGGGGACAGUGGAGAAAGGACUACAUCUUAUAGGCAGGACUCCAGGCUUAACCCAAGCCCCCAAAAAUCAAGUUUUCCCUCUGAAGAAAUUCAUUAUUUUGUUUAGUGUGAGUAUUGACAUCCUAAAGUAAGGUUUUCUUGUUCAGGAAUACCCUGGAGAGAAGCUUGCCAGUUGAUAUGACAAGCCCCCCUACGCAGAAACUGACAGCAUUUCUUUCUUCAUUCUUAAAAAUGAGCUGACACCUAAAUAUGAACAAAAAUUUAAAGGAAAAAGAUAAACAGACACAUCAUAAAAUGGUAUUCCUAUUUAUUCAUUCUUAAAAAUUAAUGGACAACUAAGGAAGAACAGAUACUUGUUGGGGGGGGGGGUGGGGAAUAGAAAAGCACACCGUAAGAGAUAGAAUUCAAGAAAACAAAGACUUGAACAGACAUUAUAUCCAGAAGGGAAAACCAGGAAACAAGGAUUUUUUUUUCUUUUAAU